GACGAACGCUGGCGGCGUGCUUAACACAUGCAAGUCGAGCGGUAAGGCCCUUUCGGGGGUACACGAGCGGCGAACGGGUGAGUAACACGUGGGUGACCUGCCCUCAGCUCUGGGAUAAGCCUGGGAAACCGGGUCUAAUACUGGAUAUGACUCCAUGACGCAUGUUGUGGGGUGGAAAGCCUUGCGCGGCUGAGGAUGGGCCCGCGGCCUAUCAGCUUGUUGGUGGGGUGANGGCCUACCAAGGCGACGACGGGUAGCCGGCCUGAGAGGGCGACCGGCCACACUGGGACUGAGACACGGCCCAGACUCCUACGGGAGGCAGCAGUGGGGAAUCUUGCGCAAUGGGCGAAAGCCUGACGCAGCGGCGCCGCGUGAGGGAUGACGGCC
rnacentral:rRNA from 1 species